UUGGAACUCGUUCCUUAAGCUUGUGGCAUCAUGUCGUCUCAGCUGGCGCGACCGCAGUUCCACGGCCUUCUGAAGAGCUACCUCCGGAAACACAUCACGAUCGCCCUGACCCUGUCGGCCGCCGGUGGAAUCGCGUGGCGAUUCCUCGUGGCCAACCCGCGAAAGCAGCGCUAUGCAGACUUCUACAAGAACUACGAUGGAGAAGCCGAGGCUGAGAAGAUGAUGGAAAUUGGUGUGCUGAACCGUUACUAAUCAUG